ACUGCCAGUGUCAGCAUGACUCUGUUCUCCGUCUUGUCACCUUUGAUUUCCAGUUUUACUCUCUUCCUUAGUGACAACUUUACCUUCCU